GUUGUGGGGCAGGACCCCAGGCUGGCUGAGCUCAUGGGGCCCCCCUGUUACUGCAGUUUCCCACCAGGGGGCGCUGCUCCCUCACUCUUUUCCCCGCCUGUUCUCCGGCUUUGCAGCUGGGGGGUUGUGGGUGCUCUCCUCCCCCCUGCCCUCCGGCCCCCUCGACUCCCCCCUAGGAACAGCCGCAGGAGCCUACGUGUGGCCCUGGCCCAAAGAACGCGCCCUGCCCCCUGCUCGGCUCUCGUGGGAACGAAGUUCCCAAGGGAAACUCCCGCCAGUUCCCACAGCAACUCCCGGACACCUGGGUCCUGCCUGCGUCCUGGAGCAGAGG